GGCUGGUCGAGUUCAGUGUGGGGCUUACAGCUGAUUAAUCAUAACUAGUUACAGAUUUCUUUGUUCUUUCUCCUUUGACCUUUAAGAGAAUGGCCUUCA
rnacentral:sRNA from 1 species